rnacentral:rRNA from 1 species
GUGGGGAAUCUUAGACAAUGGGGGAAACCCUGAUCUAGCCAUGCCGCGUGAGCGAUGAAGGCCUUAGGGUUGUAAAGCUCUUUCAGCUGGGAAGAUAAUGACUGUACCAGCAGAAGAAGCCCCGGCUAACUCCGUGCCAGCAGCCGCGGUAAUACGGAGGGGGCUAGCGUUGUUCGGAAUUACUGGGCGUAAAGCGCACGUAGGCGGACCGGAAAGUCAGAGGUGAAAUCCCAGGGCUUAACCUUGGAACUGCCUUUGAAACUCCUGAUCUUAAGGUCGAGAGAGGUGAGUGGAAUUCCGAGUGUAGAGGUGAAAUUCGUAGAUAUUCGGAGGAACACCAGUGGCGAAGGCGGCUCACUGGCUCGAUACUGACGCUGAGGUGCGAAAGCGUGGGGAGCAAACAGGAUUAGAUACCCCAGUAGUCC